AUUGAACGCUGGCGGCAUGCUUUACACAUGCAAGUCGAACGGUAACAGGCCGCAAGGUGCUGACGAGUGGCGAACGGGUGAGUAAUGCAUCGGAACGUGCCCAGUCGUGGGGGAUAACGCAGCGAAAGCUGCGCUAAUACCGCAUACGAUCUAUGGAUGAAAGCGGGGGACCGUAAGGCCUCGCGCGAUUGGAGCGGCCGAUGUCAGAUUAGGUAGUUGGUGGGGUAAAGGCUCACCAAGCCAACGAUCUGUAGCUGGUCUGAGAGGACGACCAGCCACACAGGGACUGAGACACGGCCCAGACUCCUACGGGAGGCAGCAGCGGGGAAUUUUGGACAAUGGGCGCAAGCCUGAUCCAGCAAUGCCGCGUGCAGGAAGAAGGCCUUCGGGUUGUAAACUGCUUUUGUACGGAACGAAACGGUCCUGGUUAAUACCCGGGGCUAAUGACGGUACCGUAAGAAUAAGCACCGGCUAACUACGUGCCAGCAGCCGCCGUAAUAC
rnacentral:rRNA from 1 species